UCUCUAUCACGUUAUGUUCUCACUACGUACCUUAAACUUUGAAGAAUCCAGACAGAGAAGAAGAAGAAGAAGAAGAACCGCCUACUGAGGACAUGAGAGGGAGGAGAUGAUCUGCAGCAUCCUGGUGAUCUUCAUCCUGACCUCCUGUGUCUGUGCAGGGUCAUUUGUAGUGAAUGUGACACAGAGCUGGUAUCAUGCAGAGGAGAACCACAACAUCUCACUGGAAUGGAUGUUCCCCACCAGCACAAACCACUCCACCAACUCCCUCUAUGUCUCCUGUGAGAUGUUAGCUGAUGAGAAACAUUCACUCAUGUUCCAUCUAUAUGAAGGUGUGGAGGUCCCAGAGUUUCAGGAUAAACGCUUUUCAGGACGAGUCCAGUGGGACAAAGACGUCCUCAGAGAAGGACGACUCAGACUUCACAUCUCCAGACUCCAGACUAAUGACUCUGGGCUGUACUGGUGUGAAGUGCUCACAAGUUAUGGGAAGAACUAUAAGGAAUGUCACCUCAAUGUCACUGCAGUGAAGGAUCGACCUGAACCUGAGACAACCAGUGACACCAGUCUGAGAGGAAGGAUCCGUCUCUACUGUGCACUGGGACUAGCAGCAUCUCUACUGGGUUUUUAUUUAUUUUAUCUCUGCUUUGCAAAACAGACUAGUGAUCAACACAAAACACGACACAUCAGAACCACAAUUGAAGAUAUUGAUCCUUUAAGUUUUUGCACAGAAACAGUCUGAUGUUUUCUACUUGAAGUCCAGCUGAGACACAUCUGGUCUGUGGAUGUCUCAUGUGUCUCGUGGACCAACAGCAGCAUGAAGGUAUCAGUGGUCUACAGAGACACUUGUGACUCAGGGAGCCCAGCAUCGCUCCUGUAGCUGUGACCACACAGUGUGAAUGGAGUGAAUAUUAGUUACUGAAGGACAGGAAGCUGCUCGUCAGUGUGUGUGUGUCACGUCCUGGCACGUAUCGGGCGGAAAGGAUCCACACGCAGAGGGAAGUCACAGAAAUAAGGGUUUUAAUAUUCAACUGAAACAACGAGCCGAGCUCGAUGGCAAAACAUAAAACAAAAACGUAUUCUCUAGGAGACCAGCUAAGAAAAAGGCAAAACACAAAGUAAUCCUCCGGACGGGGAAGUCUCCUCCUUGGAGAGGGAAGCUCGACAGGAGCCCACGAGAUGCAGCCCCCGCGGCACGACGCUGGAGACCGGACGAGCAGGACUAGGCUGUGCGUAAAAGACAGAGGGGGUCUUGAGGCUGCUGGAAAGGACAAGAACUCGACUCACAGUAACAAUCCGACAAGACACAAAGGGAACACAUGCAAGAUAUAGACAGGGUGAUUAGACAUGACGAGAAACAGGUGUAACAGCAAACGGGGCGGGCACUGAUUGAAAUGAGUGGCAGGUGGAUGGGAAGACUAUGUGAGAAGUGGGUGUGUGCGCUAAGGUGAGACUAAUGGGUAAAUGAGUGUGUCAGUGAAUGUAAAUGGCAGAGGGGAAGAGAGAGAGAGAGACCCGGAUCCUGACAGUGUGAGAGAGUGAAUGAGGACAUGAAUGGAAAACACAUCUCUACCUCCUUAACCUGGAUUAGAAAGCACUUUAUUAUCACUUAUGAAGGAACUUAAAGCACUUUGUAGAUUAGAUUGCUUGAAGACAAUGUAGUCUCCUGAUUCUUGUUCUGGAAUGUUUUUUUUUAUAGAAAUAAUAAAUUGUCUUAA